GACAGAGGUCCCGAGCGUUAGGCGGAAUCACUGGGCUUAAAGCGUGUGUAGGCGGAUGCCUAAGUACCUUGUGAAAUCCCACGGCUCACCCGUGGAACUGCUCGGUAUACUGGGUGUCUUGAGCCACUUAGGGGCUACCGGAACAAAUGGUGGAGCGGUGAAAUGCGUAGAUAUCAUUUGGAACGCCAAUGGUGAAAACAGGUAGCUGGGAGUGUGCUGACGCUGAGACACGAAAGCCAGGGGAGCAAAUGGG
rnacentral:rRNA from 1 species